rnacentral:rRNA from 1 species
GCGUCAGCUGCUGCGACAUCACUGAUGGGCGGCGAGUGGCGGACGGGUGAGGAAUACAUCGGAAUCUACCCUGUCGUGGGGGAUAACGUAAGUAAACUUACGCUAAUACCGCAUACGACCCACGGGUGAAAGCGGCGGACCGCACGGCGUCGCGCGAUUGGAUGAACCGAUGUCCGAUUAGCUAGUUGGCGGGGUAAAGGCCCACCAAGGCGACUAUCGGUAGCUGGACUGAAAGGAUGAUCACCCACACUGGAACUGAGACACGGUCCACACUCCUACGGGAGGCAGCAGUGGGUAAUAUUGGAGAAUGGGCGCAAGCCUGAUCCAUCCAUGCCGCGUGUGUGAAGAAUGCCUUCGGGUUGUAGAGCACUUUUGUUGGGGAAGAAAAGGCGCCGGUUAAUACCCGGUGUUUCUGACGGUACCCAAAGAAUAAGCACCGGCUAACUUCGUGCCAGCAGCCGCGGUAAUACGAAGGGUGCAAGCGUUACUCGGAAUUACUGGGCGUAAAGCGUGCGCAGGUGGUUUCGAUAGUCUGAUGUGAAAUCCCCGGGCUCAACCUGGGAACUGCAUUGGAUACUGCGAGACUAGAGUACGUCAGAGGGGGGUAGAAUUCCACGUGUAGCAGUGAAAUGCAUAUAGAUGUGGAGGAAUACCGAUGGCGAAAGCCGCCGCCUGC